UGAGUUUUAUUCAGUGAAAACACUCAUGGAGCUCUUAUGAGUUUUCAUGUGUGUUCUUCAAUGUUCUUGAUGUUCUUACCAAGAACAAAAAAGUUUUGGUGUUUUGAUUCAAUAUGUUUGUUGCUUUGUAUAAAGUUUUUGGUUUAUUUUUUGGUAGGUGAUGGAUGAUUGGUGAUGAAUGAUUUAUGCUUUUAUUGUUUGACAAAACAUUUUUCUUACAACCCAUCCCAAUCAACUUUUCCUCACCUACCUAUCCACUUGCACCAAACACUUUCAAAUUUUGAAUUUUUCACCAAAAACCGGCCACCCCUUAGUGGGGGUACUUUUGGGGCUUUCAUGCAAUUACAUAAAGUUUUGAUACUUUUGUGUAUUUGCACUUUGACCUAAAAGUUUACGUUUUUACGUUAAGGCCCAAAAACGCUAAAGGACAAAUUGUUUUGCUCCUUUAAUGAAGUUUUUAUUAUUGUUGAAAUUUUUGGGUUCUAGUUGUAAUUACAUGAAGUUGUGGACUCUUGUGUUUUUACAAAGUGACUCCAAAAGUUUAUGUUUUAAAUUUAUGGCCCAAUAGUUCUGGUCAUUGUUUUUUGGCCCAAAAGAUGAUGAGAACAAAAUGGUUUUGUCUCUUGAAUGAGAAUUGGAUUUUCAUUUCAUUUAGUUCCAUUUAAAUCAAUUCUAUGAAUCCGAAACCCAAUUGUUUAAGUUGCUUUCUUAGUUAAUUUGAUUGAUUAAGAAAAUGGUGAUUAUGAACCAAAGGCCUCGAUAAUUGAGCUAUGUGAUUGGCCGCUUUACAUUAUGAAUGCUUGGGUUAAG
rnacentral:lncRNA from 1 species